rnacentral:lncRNA from 1 species
ACUAACAAAGUUUAGACACAUAAAUUUUGAAGGUCUAGCUACCAUAUUAUUACCCACAAGAGUAAAGGAACAGGACCGCUGCUGGAUAAUUGGAAAGUCCCUGUGUGUCAACCUCUGUGCUCCGUGGCAAGAUAGACUAGCAAACAGGCCUAACCUUUAUUCACAUUCGAGAAAACACUCCCAACAAGAUUGCUUGCUUCAAGAUCGAAGAGGCACCGUCCUCCGAAUCUCAAGAGCCAGACUCCCAACAUGAUUACUUUCUCAAAAAGCGACGAGACACCGCUCUCCGAAUCUCGAGAGCCAGACUCCUAGCAGGAUUGCUUUCUCAAAAAUCGAAGAGGC